CCAGGACCAUUACACUGGGGACCGGCUUCUCUGCUCUCCCGUUAUGGGGGUCGGGGGAAUGAUGGGUCAAGAGUCUUCCGAAGAAAGCGAGAAAGGAACAGGCGCCUUCAAAAGCCCACUUGGCGAUGGGUUACAGUAAGAGCGUUGCUCCCUGCUUGGCUGAGCACUGCAGAGUUUCACGCCUCUAAACCCCGCCUCUUCUUGCAACCUGUGUUGGCCUCAUCUACCCAGCAACUGCGACGUCACACGACCUGGGCCUCCCUGAAUGGGAGAUAUUUACUAGGCAAUCCCGCCUACUGUUCUGAGGUUUCCCCUCCAGAUGCCGCUUCAGAGCCAGGCGAGCCAGGAAGGACCAGCGGGCGAGGUGGAAGUCUGCAUUAUCACGAGGAGCUUGGAAAGGAGGUAACACACUCAAUGCAAAUUUCAAGUAACUCAUCCUGGAGGCAGCUGCCUACUCUGCAGCUGUGGUUCUCCACCACAGAGAGAAGAAAAGGGAGGGAGAUGGAGUGCGCAGGUCUGAGAAGGCUUUCAUUCUGGAGCAUCUGCAGGAGCCUGCACCAUGGCCCAGUAGCACCCCUUUUUCUCCAUGAGCUGCUGGUGGGUUCCCCCCUCCCGGAUAGCGCCUCCUUCCAGAAAGAGGAUGUGGUCAGCCUGCUCCACCAGGCUGAGGUGCUGGGUGAUGAGAAGCACUGAGCGGGAGUACCGCUCAGGGCUUUCGUACAGGAGCUGCUCCACCUGAGGAAAGACAUCGGACCGUCAGAGCCGGGGACUACCCUCAGCCCAGGGAGACACCUGUGUUUCCAGGGCUGGGACUGACCUCACAGGAUCACUGCUGGCUCUGCUAACAACCCCAAGGACACCAACGCUUCCCAUUCUGAGUACUUCUCCACAAACCCUUUGUUUCAUUAAGGACUGUUUUACAUGAAGGGUGCAAAA
rnacentral:lncRNA from 1 species